rnacentral:lncRNA from 1 species
GGAAUUCUUCCUUGUGUAACAUAUGUCUUGACAAGAAUCAUCUGGUCAUCACUCAGUGCUUGCAACACCUCACUUACAUACAUUCUGGUCAUCUGGAAGUGGACUGGUUGCAUGACUUACAUUCUGGUCAUCUGGAAGUGGACUGUUUACAUGACUUAUGGGCAGAUAUCGCAUUGGGUUGGUCCAGUCAGGUUCUGGUCGAGUCAAAAACAUAAACCCUUAACCCAAAUUGACAGAUAUGCGAUAGGGUUGAGAAAAAUACAUCCAAACACAAGCCAUUUAUUUAGAUAGGUCCAUACCUACUU